GACGGGGUUUCUCCGUGCUGGUCAGGCUUGUCUCGAACUCCUACCUCAGGUGAUCCACCUGCCUCGGCCUCCCAGAGUGCUGGGAUUACAGUCAUGAGCCACCGCACCCGACUGGGUCUUUAUAAAUCUAUAAAAUGUACUUCCAUCUGUAUGCCUAAUAUGUCUUUUUGUGUAUUUAUGUGUCGUAUACAAAAUGUUUCACUACUAAAAAGAGCUCUAGUUAAUUGACAUAAAAAUAAAAGUGCUUAAAUCAGAUACUAAAAAACGACUAGUCAAAUGCUUUUUCAAGUUUAUGUAACAAAUAAAAUCUUUAAUAAAUAAGCUAGCUUUAAAAUUAUUGGCAAAGUAAUAUUAGAAAUGUGUUAAGAAUUGCCAGCAUACAUUUUUGUUUGUAUUUGUUAAUCAAGCAAUUUCAUACUUACCCCUGCCAAAUACUAUAAGGUGUCAAAAUUUGACAUAAGGGUUACAAAACCCAACCCAAAUCAGAAUGAUCUUUGCUUGUGUAAUUUUUAAUAAAUAAGACAUUGAUAUGGGUAUAGUGAAAAUAGCUACAUCUUGAAUUUAGUAAGAUUACUAUAACUUCUAAUCCUGCAGCUAUAGGCAGUCUAGUUUCCAGACAAUGGGAAGGUUUGUUUUGGGAAAGGACUGUUAUCAUCUUUGUUUCAUAACUAAAUUGUAAACUAAGUUCCUCCCAAAGUUAGUUCAGCCUAUGCCCAGGAAUGAACAAGGACAGCUUGGAGGUUAAGAGCAAGAUGGAGUCAAUUAGGUCAAAUCUUUUUUUUUUUUUUUUUUUUGAGAUGGAGUUUUGUUCUUGCUGCCCAGACAGGAGGGCAAUGGUGGCAUCUCGGCUCACUGCAACCUCCGCCUCCACGUUCAAGCAAUUCUCCUGCCUCAGCCUCCCUAAAGGAAGAAAGAGACCCUUUCAUAUUGUUUUAUACUCAAUACCUAUUUAAAGAAAAAAACAAGGAAGUGAAAUCAAAGACAGGCAGUCCGGCUCCAGGCCCGAAACCAGGCCUGGGCCUGCUUGGCCUAAACCCAGUAGUUAAAAAUCAACUCAUAACUUAGAAACCAAUGUUAUUCAUAGAUUCCCGACAUUGUAUAAAAGAACACUGUGAUACUCCCUGCCCUGUUCUGUCUCACUCUGACCACCGGUGCAUGCAGCCCGUCACGUACCCCCCUGCUUGCUCAAAUCAAUCACGACUCUUUCAUGUGAAAUCUUUAGUGUUGUGAGCCCUUAAAAGGGACAGAAAUUGUGCACUCGGGGAGCUUGGAUUUUGAGGCGGUAGCUUGCUGAUGCUCUCAUCUGAAUAAAGCCCUUCCUUCUACAACUUGGUGUCUGAGAGGUUUUGUCUGCAGCUCGUUCUGCUACAUUUCUUGGUCCCCUGAGAGGGAAACAAGGUGACUGAUGGAUGGCUGAGGCAGCCCCUUAGGCGGCUUAGGCCUGCCCCGUGGAGCAUCCCUGCAGGGGACUCCGGCCAGCCUGAGUGAUGUGAUCCAAAGAGCGCUGCCAGGUAGGAAAUUGCCCCGGUGGAACGCCUCGCCGGAGCAGCGCGUAGCAGGCCCCCGUGGAGGAUCAACACAGUGGCUGAACACCGGGAAGGAACUGGCACUUGGAGUCUGGACAUCUAAAAGUUGGCGCUGCGGGCAGAAUCAAACGCAUCACUCCCAACUCCCACUGCAGAAGAAAAGCUAUUCAACUGUCAGUGGUGGAGGAGCGCAUGUGGUGGCAGUUUCAGGUACAAAUGAUGUACUGCACUUUCAGACGCGGAUCUUGGAAAUCCAGGACUUCUCGGUAAAGUUGACUGAAGUUCUGGAGGCUGGGACGUCCAAGGUCAAGAUGCUGACAAAUGAUGAGAGCUUUCUUGCUGCAUCCUCACGUGGAAGAAGGUGGAAGGGCAAGAGAGAAGAAACUAAUGCUAGCAAAUGCCUCUUUUAAAAGGGACUUAGUCCCAUUAACAAAGAAGCAGGUCUUAUGGCCUAAUCAUCUCAUAAAAGCACCACCUCUUAAUACUAUCACAUUGGCAAUACCUUAAUUUUGGAGGGGACACAUUCAAACCAUAGCAGAGACCGCUAAGUAUAGGGAAGACUAAACCCGAGAACCAAGUGGCCAGAAGCCCGCACUAGCUCAGCUGAUUCUGCUAUUACACUUAGAUAAGGUAUGAGCCUUUUGCUACUGAAUCAACAGAAAGGCUGCCCAAAAGCAAUGAGUCUCAGAUGCCUCCCAUGAAGUUCACACAUCACACCAGGACUUCUACUCAUACGUGAAAAGCUAGAGAAUCAUGUUUAGGUAGGCAAGGGGAGAGAGGUCCUGGACAGGUUAUUGAAGGACUAAUUUUAAAUUACAAAAUACCUCUUUAUGUUUAGUUUGCAAACAAAAAGAGUCAAUUAGUGAAGGCUUGGCUGAGCUGAUUUCAGAAACAGUGGGAACCCACUUUUUGCGGUAGUUAGGAAGCCUCAGGGUCUUUUUAAAUGUAUCCUAAUUACUAGCCUAGGUAAGUCUUAAAAGAGCUAUAGUUUGUUGGGAGAAAGGGAUUUGCCUUCUUUAGAAAAAUCAUCUUUGGUAAUGCACUUGGUUUUGACAAAACCAAGUGCACUGGUUUUUGUUACUUUCCUUUAAAAAUUCUGUCUUUUUAAAACAUUCCCGGAACUCAUCUGCUCU